rnacentral:rRNA from 1 species
AAGUUCAUGCCUUAACAAGGUGAAACCGCGAAUGGCUCAUUAAAACAGUCAUGAUCUAUUUGAUAACUUUACAAGGAUAACUGUGGUAAUUCUAGAGCUAAUACUUGCAAUAAAGCCGUAACUGGGAAGCGGUGCGUUUAUUAGACCAAGACCAAUGAUCUCUUCGGAGAUCUACAAUUGGGUGACUCUGGAUAACUAAUGGCGUAAAAACCAUGAAGCUGACCCUAUGUCCCGAGGUACUUAGCGGCAAAUCAUUCGAGUGUCUGCUCUAUCAACUGUCGAUGGUAGGUUAUAUGCCUACCAUGGUUGUAACGGGUAACGGGGAGUUAGGGCUCGACUCCGGAGAGCAGGCCUGAGAAACGGCCAGCACAUCUAAGGAAGGCAGCAGGCGCGCAAAUUACGCAAUGAUAGCAUCCUAUCGACGUAGUGAAGAAAAAUAACGAUGUAGUUCUAUUUACAAGAUCUACAAUUGGAAUGAGUACACUGUAAAUAUGUUAACGAGUAUCAAUUAGAGGGCAAGUCUGGUGCCAGCAGCCGCGGUAAUUCCAGCUCUAAUAGCGUAUAUUAAAGUUGUUGCGGUUAAAAAGCUCGUAGUUGGAUUUUUGGCUUGCUUUAGUUAGAAUUAUCGUUAAGGUUCUAAUUUAAACACUAAUGUGCCUGUCACUAGCUGGUAGUAAACUAAAGCGGCCGUUUCGUCACUUUUUAAGGUGCGAAACACGUCUAUGCAUGAUAACAUCACGUUUUCAUUUGUUUAGUGAGUUUACCUUGAGAAAAUUAGAGUGCUCAAAGCAGGCGAAUCGUAUGCCAAAGGUCAUUAAUGCUUGAAUAAUGUUGCAUGGAAUAAUAGAAUAUGGCCUCGGUUCUAUUCUGUUGGUCUUGUAGAACAACAAACAAGUUCGCUAAAUCUAACAAUGUUAUCUGUGGGUGGCAUUUUCUAGUAAAUAUUACAUUUAAUCAUGUAUAUUGCCUUGUUCGCAAGGAUAAGUGCUUCAAUCGAUUUUAAUAUUAUUUAUCAUGAAUUGUGUCGCUAGAAAAGCCCAUCAGUUAACAAGAUUUAAUCGAGGCAAUGGUUAAGAGGGAUAGACGGGGGCAUUCGUACUGCUAGAGGUGAAAUUCUUAGACCGAUGCAAGACGAACUAAAGCGAAAGCAUUUGCCUAGAAUGUUUUCAUUAAUCAAGAACGAAAGUUAGAGGUUCGAAGGCGAUCAGAUACCGCCCUAGUUCUAACCAUAAACGAUGCCAAUUAGCAAUUAGGCUGAGUUUUUUCAUUAAAAUUAAAUGACUCGCCUAGCGGCUUUCGGGAAACCAAAAUUUUUCGGUUCCGGGGGAAGUAUGAUUGCAAAGUUGAAACUUAAAGGAAUUGACGGAAGGGCACCACCAGGAGUGGAGCCUGCGGCUUAAUUUGACUCAACACGGGGAAACUCACGAGGUUAGUACGCUAAAAUGCUUGACUGUUUGAAGUGCAUUCAAAAGAUAGCGAGUGGUGGUGCAUGGCCGUUCUUGAUUCGUAGAAUGAUUCGUCUGCUUAAUUGCGAUAACGAGUGAGACCUCUUCCAAUUAGCUAGUUUCUGUCUGUCUUGUGGAUAUAAAACUUCUUCUAUGUUAUGUUUGGUUGCCUCACGGAUAUUGGAUAUAGCAGCCAGAAGAUGGCUUUAGCCAGCAGAAGACUUCCUAGAGGGAUAACGGUGUUUUGCCGUAAUAAAUGAGGCAAUAACAGGUCUGUGAUGCCCUUAGAUAUCCUCGGCCGCACGCGUGCUACAAUGCUAAAGACAUCAUGCUUAUUUAAGUUGUCUAGGGAGUUCUGGUUGGUUUUUGUUGUUAGGCGCAAGGUUUUGCUAAUCGUGAACCUUAAACAAUUUGAGAAACCUUGGCUGAAAAGCCUGGGCAAUCAUAACUUUUAGCAUGAUUUGGGAUUGGGGUUUGCAAUUGUUGUCCAUGAACGAGGAAUUCCUAGUAAGCGCGAUUCAUCAUAUCGCGUUGAUUAUGUCCCUGCCCUUUGUACACACCGCCCGUCGCUACUACCGAUUGAAUGAUUUAGUGAGGUCUUUGGAUUGGCCUAUUUAAAAGAAACCUUCUGAAUAGGCUGAAAAGAUGAUCGAACUUGAUCAUUUAGAGGAAGUAAAAGUCGUAACAAGGUUUCCGU